UACAGAGGUCUCGAGCGUUUGUUCGGAUUCAUUGGGCGUAAAGGGUGCGUAGGCGGCGCGGUAAGUCGGGUGUGAAAUCUCGGAGCUUAACUCCGAAACUGCAUUCGAUACUGCCGUGCUUGAGGACUGGAGAGGAGACUGGAAUUCUCGGUGUAGCAGUGAAAUGCGUAGAUAUCGAGAGGAACACCAGUGGCGAAGGCGGGUCUCUGGACGAUUCCUGACGCUGAGGCACGAAAGCCAGGGGAGCAAACGGG
rnacentral:rRNA from 1 species